rnacentral:rRNA from 1 species
AACGAACGCUGGCGGCAGGCUUAACACAUGCAAGUCGAGCGCCCCGCAAGGGGAGCGGCAGACGGGUGGGUAACGCGUGGGAACGUACCCUUUGCUACGGAAUAGCUCCGGGAAACUGGAAUUAAUACCGUAUGUGCCCUACGGGGGAAAGAUUUAUCGGCAAAGGAUCGGCCCGCGUUGGAUUAGCUAGUUGGUGGGGUAAUGGCCUACCAAGGCGACGAUCCAUAGCUGGUCUGAGAGGAUGAUCAGCCACAUUGGGACUGAGACACGGCCCAAACUCCUACGGGAGGCAGCAGUGGGGAAUAUUGGACAAUGGGCGCAAGCCUGAUCCAGCCAUGCCGCGUGAGUGAUGAAGGCCUUAGGGUUGUAAAGCUCUUUCACCGGAGAAGAUAAUGACGGUAUCCGGAGAAGAAGCCCCGGCUAACUUCGUGCCAGCAGCCGCCGUAAUAC